CAGCAGCCACGGUAAUACGAAGGGUGCAAGCGUUACUCGGAAUUACUGGGCGUAAAGCAUGCGUAGGUGGUGGUUUAAGUCCGUUGUGAAAGCCCUGGGCUCAACCUGGGAAUUGCAGUGGAUACUGGGUCACUAGAGUGUGGUAGAGGAUAGUGGAAUUUCCGGUGUAGCAGUGAAAUGCGUAGAGAUCGGAAGGAACAUCUGUGGCGAAGGCGACUAUCUGGGCCAACACUGACACUGAGGCACGAAAGCGUGGGGAGCAAACAGGAUUAGAUACCCCAGUAGUCCCUGUCUCUUAUAC
rnacentral:rRNA from 1 species